rnacentral:rRNA from 1 species
UGGGGAAUAUUGCACAAUGGGGGGAAACCCUGAUGCAGCGACGCCGCGUGAAGGAAGAAGUAUUUCGGUAUGUAAACUUCUAUCAGCAGGGAAGAUAAUGACGGUACCUGACUAAGAAGCUCCGGCUAAAUACGUGCCAGCAGCCGCGGUAAUACGUAUGGAGCAAGCGUUAUCCGGAUUUACUGGGUGUAAAGGGUGCGCAGGUGGCGUGGUAAGUCAGAAGUGAAAACCCGGGGCUCAACCCCGUGGAUUGCUUUUGAAACUAUCAUGCUGGAGUCCGGGAGAGGUAAGCGGAAUUCCUAGUGUAGCGGUGAAAUGCGUAGAUAUUAGGAGGAACA